rnacentral:rRNA from 1 species
UGGGGAAUAUUGGACAAUGGGCGCAAGCCUGAUCCAGCCAUGCCGCGUGAGUGAUGAAGGCCUUAGGGUUGUAAAGCUCUUUCGCCCGCGAGGAUAAUGACGGUAGCGGGAUAAGAAGCCCCGGCUAACUUCGUGCCAGCAGCCGCGGUAAUACGAAGGGGGCUAGCGUUGUUCGGAAUCACUGGGCGUAAAGCGCACGUAGGCGGACUUUUAAGUCAGAGGUGAAAGCCUGGAGCUCAACUUCAGAACUGCCUUUGAUACUGGAAGUCUUGAGUCCGGUAGAGGUGAGUGGAACUGCUAGUGUAGAGGUGAAAUUCGUAGAUAUUAGCAAGAACACCAGUGGCGAAGGCGGCUCACUGGACCGGUACUGACGCUGAGGUGCGAAAGCGUGGGGAGCAAACA